CUGGUCACUUCAGUAAAGUUAAGUGAAUUUAUAUCUUGCAAAAAUAUUGAAGAUCAGCAAAGGACCAUAAGCAGUGCAUCACCUGUGAGAUCAUGAGAAGGCUGAAGAACCAGGAGUGACCCUAAGCAGUGCAUCACCUGUGAGAUCAUGAGAAGGCUGAAGAACCAGGAGUGACCCUAAGCAGUGCAUCACCUGUGAGAUCAUGAGAAGGCUGAAGAACCAGGAGUGACAAGAUACCACCGGAUGGUGGGACACAGAAUUAAACCCAGGGACAGUGAUCUGAAAAUGCCUGUUCACCGAUGUUCCCCAUCCAAACUGACAGCUUGAGAGGAUCUGCAGAGAAUGGCAGAAAAUCCCCAAAUCCAGAUCAAGCAUUGGAACAACGUUUACGGAGAACAGGCACCCAACAACACCCAAAGUCCAUCACUAAUGCACCAAGGAUCAGGCUGAUUACUGACGAUUUGGAAGAUUGUUCUUUAUCUGCACUGUCACUUAUGGUAAAGAUUCAU